rnacentral:rRNA from 1 species
CCUACGGGAGACAGCAGUGAGGAAUAUUGGUCAAUGGACGAGAGUCUGAACCAGCCAAGAAGCGUGAAGGAUGACUGCCCUAUGGGUUGUAAACUUCUUUUAUAUGGGAAUAAAAUGUUCCACGUGUGGGAUUUGUUAUGUACCAUAUGAAUAAGGAACGGCUAACUCCGUGCCAGCAGCCGCGGUAAUACGGAGGAUCCGAGCGUUAUCCGGAUUUAUUGGGUUUAAAGGGAGCGUCGGUGGAUUGUUAAGUCAGUUGUGAAAGUUUGCGGCUCAACCGUAAAAUUGCAGUUUCAACUGGCAGUCUGGAGUACAGUAGAUGUGGGCGGAAUUCGUGGUGUAGCGGUGAAAUGCUUAGAGAUCACGAAGCAGUCCGAUUGCGAAGGCAGCUCACUGGACUGCACCUGACACUGAGGCUCGAAAGUGUGGGUAUCAAACAGGAUUAGAUUGUAGUC